rnacentral:lncRNA from 1 species
UGUGUGGUGUUCUCUAUCCUCUGAGAGAGGUGAGGAACCCCAGAAAGGAGAGGGCGGGAUGAUGGUUGUGUUGUAUAUUUUGGCAAUGUCACAGUCUCAGGGAUGGAGAGAUUCAUCUGGCUCUCCCUUCACCAGCCAUUUCUACAGCAGCGGCAGCAGGAGGGGGCCAAGCGGCAUGUUAAUUCUUGCUGGAACACAACCAGGCUGACAGUUCCCCCGCUCUAGGCCUGAUGGGUGAAUCCAGGCAUCUUGGCGCUCUGCUGACAUCAUGGAAAAUCUUAGCUGCAUGGCCGCAGAGCACACACUUGCCAAUUAGCAGGGAAGCCCACAGAGGAAAGAGGUAUGAGGUUUCGAAUUAUCCCUGCGGGAGACAAAGGGCCAUUGCCUGAUGCCUGAGAGAGGCUGUUCUGUGCACAGCUUGGGCAGCCCACAUCUACUGUGGCACCAGGCCAGACAUCAUCCCUUCAGACAGGAGGAGGUGGGGGCAGGGAGCGGCCUUUGUUUGUCUCAGGCACCUGUGCCCAGUGGAGCUACCUGGAUGGGAGGGAGGGGAGGAGGGAUGACAGAGGCGGGGAACUUGCAGGAGAGUGGAAAUGACAAAUGUCUCCCACUGGGAACCCUGUGAGCUGUCCUGCAGGAUCAUCCAUCUCCCUGCCGGUGAUUUGCAUUCCGACAGGGUGGGAGGUACUCCUGCCCACUGCUCCCCCAUCCCACUGCUCCAGUUCCCACUCCAGCCCAAUUCAGAAUGAGGUGCUAGCCCAGGUGACCCCUGGAGUAUUCCCUAAAGCCUUUACGGGACUCCCCAAGGGGCACUACUGAAAGUCUUUACCUCUCCAGAAAGCUUCUGGUAAAAGCCCAAAGCUUCGCCUGGCGCCUGGCGUGGCGUCUCUUGCAUUACAAUUUCAGCACUGGGGAGGCUGGGGAGAGAGGAUCGCUGAGUUUGUGGCCUGUCCACAUAGUGAGUUCCAGGGCAGCCUGACUUAUAUCUGGAGACCUUUUUCUUAAAUCAAACUAAAGAGGCCAAAGCUUGUCAAGGUGACUCAGUGGGUGAAGCCAGAGGACCAAAGUCAGGAGAGAGAGAGAGAGAGAGAGAGAGAGAGAGAGAGAGAGAGAGAGAGAGAGAGAGAAUGUAAAAGCACAAAAGGCAUGCAAAACCCCCUCCCGUAGGAGGGGUGGGAUGGGGCUUGGGGAAGGGGUUCAGGAUAACGACACGGUGGGAAGCCAUCCAUUUGAUUGUAUCAAGAAGCCUUUGUCUUAGAGGGAGUGUAUGGAAGCUGAAGACUUAGUAUCAUAACUGGCUUUCCUGGGCAGGCACAGCGUGCAUGCUGCUUGCUGGCAAGCCUUGCCCACGCAUCAGGUAGCCCUGCAGGCUCCCAGCUCAGGAAGCCCACUGGCACUGCACCUCCCUGUUUCUUACCCUGGGAGGUAGCACCUGCAGUCUGGAGCCCUGGGGCUGGGGGAGGGGUUGUGGGGGGAGGAGUAGUGAGGGGAGGGAUCAUGACACGAUGUGCAUUCUGCAGAGGGAAGAGCCAGGUGCUGAUGCCGGGCAGAGCAGCCUGCUGUCUACUGUUUCUGCUUCCUGGUGACUUCAUCUUUCCACAGGCCGGGCACAUGCCUGGAGACAUCAGAUGCUCCAAUUUGCAGGAUCAGUCAGAGGCAUGUUUCCCAUGACAGGAGCCCUGGGUUGAGGCCUGUUCCUUUAGAGGGGAGGCCUGUGGGGGGCAGAUCUAAGAACUGGUAACCUGUGCAAGGAUAUCAGGAAGGCUAGGCUCAGCAGGCUGGGUGCUCCGGGAAGAAGGGGCUGCACAGGGGUCCAUCUGCCGCUGGGAGAUCAGCUGAUCUUUCCCAUUGCUCGACCCCUUGCAGGUUGCCCUGUGUAGGGCAGAGGAAGGGUCCCUAAUGCUUUCUUCUCGGGAAGGGCUUGGGCCUUUUCAUGGAAUUACCUCUUCCUCUGGCCCGGUGCCCACACAUUCUCUCAUUGUGGCCACCAGAGACCUACCACUGUCCCCUGGAUGUUCCCCCUGGGCCCCUGGCAACCAAGGGCCAGAGGAAAGCUUAGCUUCUGAGCCAAGAGAACGCCCUUCCUUCUUCCUGGACAUCGAGAAACCAGUGUGGUACAGGGACAGGCAUGGGAGCUGUCCACACCACAUGCCAGCAAUGGGAACACCCAGUACCCAGAGCAACUUUGAAAAUAAUAAAACACAUGGGAAGCCACGGCUCUCUAUUAAACACCACACACCUAAAUACCAAACACGUCUGAUUGACACCAGUUGUUUACACACUGAAACAUGUUGUGUCCUUGUAGAGGCCUAAUGUAUGUGUAAGCUGCGAAUUAGCACACUUUAAAAAUGAUGUAUCUUGGCCCCGACACCAGGAUGGCUGCCUGCCUUCGUCUGGAAAGCGACUUCUUACAGUCUGACACUGUUUGGCAUUGCCCUGCUUGCACUAAAAACGAUUUGUUGAGGUUGGAAAGACGGUGCUAUGAUUAAGAGCACUUGCUGCUCUUGCAAAGGACCAGAAUUUGGUUCCCAGCACUCCUCCUGGGUGACUCAAAACUGCCUGUAACUCUGGGAUCUGACACUCUCUUCUGGGCUCCAUGGGCACCUCUGCCCCCCCCCCCGACACACACACAUACACACACACACAUGUGCACACUCACACAGAAAAACACAUAUUCACACAAGCAUACAUAUACAAAUCCACAAAACACACACACACACACACACACAGACAAAAUAAAAUAGCCAGGCAUGGUGACGGCUCACUCCAUUUAUCUCAGCACUGGGGAGGCAGAAGCAGGUGGAUCUCUAUGGAUUCCAGGGCAGCCUGGUCUCUGUAGCAAGUUCUAGGCUGGCUAGGGAUGCACAGUGAGACCCUUUCUCAAAAACAAAAUAAAUAUAAAAAAAGAUUUAUGUAUUUAUUUAUUUGUGUGUGCAUUUGGCACAUGUGUGUGUGUGUGUGUGUGUGUGUGUGUGUGUGUGUGUGUGUGUGUAUGUGUGUGUCCAUGCAUGUCCAGGCAUGAGCAUACUCUGGUGUACAGACAGAAGUCAGAGGAUAAUUUUCAGACGUCAGUUCUCCCCUUCCACGUUAGUGAAGAAGGGUCUUGUUUUUGCCAGUGUGCGGUGUACCCUGGGCUGGCCCCAGAGAUGUCUGGCAGCUGUCCUGUCUGUCUUGUGUCUUGCUGUAGGCAUGUUGGAACUACAGAUGUGUACUGCUGCAUCCUUUGUACAUGGGUUCCUGGGAUUGAACUCAGGACCUUUAGUCUAGAGGCUAGAGGCUGUCCCUCAGUCCUCAGGUGCCUCUGUAGCCUCCCCUUCCCAUUGAGAGUCUUCCCUGCAGACUCCCAUUCCCCAACCUUUAGCCAGCCCUGUGGAAGUGAGCUACGACGGGCACAGUGAUGGCUGGCAUCAUCCAAGAAGCAGAGCUUGGCUCUGAUCCCAUCAAUCUGUAGGAACACACAGAGCUUUUAUUUCUGUUUCAACUUUAAAACAAUGAAACAGCACGGACUGUGGCGAGAAAUAUUUAUGUUUUGCAAAUGCAAAUUUUAGUGCAUGCAUGAAAUGUUUUAUUGAAUUUGAUUCUUUAAAUGAGAAUUUAUUCUUCUAUUAAAAUCAUUGCUAAGAAUCACAAAUCAAGGAGAGAUGGAGUGUGGCCCGCUGUAUGAGCUCCCUACAGCUGAUGGAUCGGAUCAUCGAAAGCUUGGGGGAUGGAUUAUCUCCUGGUUCUAAAGGCUAGGGUGCUUCUUGGAAGCCGGGCUAGGAUUUUAACUUGACACUUGUGCAUGCUGGGUGAGAAUCUAAACCACUGCCCGGCCCCGAGAAGGAAGAAAUCAGGUUUUAUCAUCCCUGACACUCCAGGACAAGUCCUGAUCUCUCUUUGCCUGCCUUCCUUGGCUCGUGGCUCCAUCCUCUAUCUAUACUAAGAUCUCAGGGGUUUUGGUUUGGUUUUUUUGUUUUUGAUGGCACUGAGAGUCUACCCUUAAGGUUCUCCAUGUGCCCUUUCCAUAAGAAUCUACAGGAGAACUUUCUGUGAUCCUGGGUAACCUCCCAACACCCAAUCCUCAACUUAAUUUUUUUUUUAAUUUAGUUUUAAUUGUGUAUACACACGCA